CCGCCGCGUUGAGAGCCUCAUAGUUCUCCUUCUCCUUCCACUAAACAUCUGAUGUCCAUCGAAGCCUUUUUGGUUCCAGAGCCUUCUCUACCUAAAAGACCUAAACAGCAUAAAUCUAAAGCUACAGUCAUUUCUCAACAGCGUCAACAAACUGCUGAAUCAAUCUCUAUUGGUUCACCUUCUGAUGAGCCAAGGUAGACUCAGAACUGAGAGAAACGGAGGGAAACAGCUGCUUUUGUGUACUGCAGAAGGGGGUAGAUCCUCACCAAAAU